rnacentral:rRNA from 1 species
UACGUAGGGGGCAAGCGUUGUCCGGAUUUAUUGGGCGUAAAGAGCUCGUAGGUGGUUCGGUAAGUCGGAUGUGAAAUCUCCAGGCUCAACCUGGAGGGUCAUUCGAUACUGCCGUGACUAGAGGUCGGUAGGGGAGUGUGGGAAUUCCUGGUGGAGCGGUGAAAUGCGCAGAUAUCAGGAGGAACACCAGUGGCGAAGGCGGGUCUCUGGACAGUUCCUGACGCUGAGGCACGAAGGUCAGGGGAGCAAACGGG